rnacentral:rRNA from 1 species
GACGUAGGGCGCGAGCGUUGUCCGGAUUUAUUGGGCGUAAAGAGCUCGUAGGCGGCUUGUCGCGUCGACUGUGAAAACCCGCGGCUCAACUGCGGGCCUGCAGCCGAUACGGGCAGACUAGAGGUAGGUAGGGGAGAAUGGAAUUCCCGGUGUAGCGGUGAAAUGCGCAGAUAUCGGGAGGAACACCGGUGGCGAAGGCGGUUCUCUGGGCCUUACCUGACGCUGAGGAGCGAAAGCGUGGGGAGCGAACAGG